rnacentral:lncRNA from 1 species
UUUUGGCUAGUUAUUUAUGUAUCUUUUACUUGGUGUUUUUGCGCUAUUGUGUUAGGCUUUUUGAUCGAAGAUUUUUAUUGGUUCUAUUGUAAGAUUAUUGGGUGAGUGAUUUGUAACAAGUUAAGGUUAUCUAUUGGGGAUGCAAUUACUUCUUUGUAUAAUGGUAGAUUGGGCUUUACGCAAUAAGUUACUGGAUCAAUUAUUGAAUAAAAUCAUUCAUUGAGUGAUACUCUACAGAGUAUGAUUGGUG